UGGGGCGUAGUCAAGUGGUAAGGCAACGGGUUUUGGUCCCGCUAUUCGGAGGUUCGAAUCCUUCCGUCCCAG
rnacentral:tRNA from 1 species